UACGGAGGGUGCGAGCGUUGUCCGGAAUCACUGGGCGUAAAGGGCGCGUAGGCGGCCUGAUAAGUAGGGGGGUGAAAUCUUGCGGCUUAACCGCAAGGCUGCCUUCUAAACUGUCGGGCUAGAGCACAGUAGAGGCAGGUGGAAUUCCCGGUGUAGCGGUGGAAUGCGUAGAGAUCGGGAAGAACAUCAGUGGCGAAGGCGGCCUGCUGGGCUGUUGCUGACGCUGAGGCGCGACAGCGUGGGGGAGCAAACAGG
rnacentral:rRNA from 1 species